UAAAAAGUAAUUUAAGGGUGUUUAGUGGAUGCCUUGGCAAUCAGAGGCGAUGAAGGACGUGAAAGACUGCGAUAAGUUCCGGCGAGCUGUCAAUACGCUUUGACCCGGAAAUGUCCGAAUGGGGAAACCCACGGCCGUGUGCCGUAUCAACAACUGAAUACAUAGGUUGUUGAAGCAAACGUGGUGAAGUGAAACAUCUCAGUAGCCACAGGAAAAGAAAUCAAAAGACCCUUGAUAGAUUGAUUUAGCCGCAAAUGAUGCGAGAGAAAAUUUUACAGGCGUAAGUAAAAUUUAUGAAAUGUAUAUGAUACAUUGAAUAAAUUUUGCGAGGCGAAUGUGAAAUUUAAUCCGCACCCUUUGGGCGGCGUAAAAUAAAAAACUAACUGCGUAUUUCUGCUCUCCGUAUAAUUAUAUGGUUCGCAAAAAUGCUUGUUAUUUUUAUAUUUUCCCUGCCGUCAUUUGUGGCGAAAUCAAUGUAUCAAGGGUCGCGAGAUUCCGUUAGUAGUGGCGAGCGAAAACGGAACAGCCCAGUAGCAGAAUUAUUAGAUAGCAAAAUGGUGUGGAAAAGCCAGCAAUAAUGGGUGAUAGCCCUGUAUGCGAAAUCUAGUUUUUUUGUUCAAGAGUAGGGCCGGACACGUGAAAUCCGGUCUGAAUAUGGGGGGACCUUCCUCCAAGGCUAAAUACUCCUGAUUGACCGAUAGUGAACAAGUACCGUGAGGGAAAGGUGAAAAGAACCCCGAAAGGGGAGUGAAAUAGACACUGAAACUGAAUACUUACAAGCUGUCAGAGCUCGGAUUCGUCCGAGUGAUGGCGUACCUUUUGUAUAAUGAGCCAACGAGUUAUUAUUGUAUGCAAGCUUAAGCCGUUAGGUGUAGGCGAAGGGAAACCAAGUCUGAAUAGGGCGAUUUGAGUAUGCAGUAAUAGACCCGAAGCGGGGUGAUCUAGGUAUGGGCAGGCUGAAGGUUGUGUAACAGCAACUGGAGGGCCGAACACACUAAUAUGACAACAUUAGGUGAUGACCUGUGUCUAGGGGUGAAAAGCCAAUCGAACCCCGUUAUAGCUGGUUCUCCGCGAAAACUAUAUAGGUAGUGUCUUAUGUGUUCGUCUUUGGGGGUAAAGCACUGAAAUGGCUAGGGGGAGUAAAAUCUUACCAAACCAUAUCAAACUCUGAAUACCAAAGAAUAAAAAGCAUAGGAAACAGUCCGUCGGUGCUAAGGUCGGCGGGCGAGAGGGAAACAUCCCAGACCACCAAAUAAGGUCCCCAAGUAAUGAUUAAGUGGGAAAGUGAGUGUAGAGUCCAAAACAACCAGGAGGUUGGCUUGGAAGCAGCCAUCCUUUAAAGAAAGCGUAAUAGCUCACUGGUCUAAGACGUCCCUACAAAAAUAAUUGAGAUUUGGCGCGAGGAAAAAUAAAUCAGGUUUAGAAAAAUCGGAGAAUGCGUAUAAUAUACGCAAAGACGAUUUGACGACAAUAUGAUUUAUUUUAACCGCGAACUAUUAUUAAAUAAUAAAACCAAAUCCAGGUUAUUUUUGUUGGGGCGUCGCAAUAGACUUUAUGCAACGAAAAUGUAACGGGGCUAAAAUCAUUCACCGAAUUUGUGGGCGCGUCGCAAGAUGCGCGGUAGCGGAGCAUUCUGUAAGCCUGUGAAGCCAAAGGCGCGAGCCAUGGUGGAGGUAUCAGAAGCGCGAAUGUUGGCAUGAGUAGCAGCUAAUCAAGGUGAGAAACCUUGACGCCGUAAGAGCAAGGGUUCCUAUCCAAUGUUAAUCAGGGUAGGGUGAGUCGACCCCUAAGGUCAGGCCGAAAGGCGUAGCCGAUGGGAAACCGGUGAAUAUUCCGGUACUCGAUGGGAUGUGACGGAUUGCGUAAAUUGUAUUACCUUAUUGGAUUGGUGAUGCAGUGAAGUGGUCCCAGGAAAUAGCCCCAUCAUAUGAAUCGUACCCAGAACCAACACAGGUGCUCGAGUCGAGUAGACUAAGGCGGUUGAGAGAACUAUGUUGAAGGAACUAGGCAAAAUACAUCCGUAACUUCGGGAUAAGGAUGACCUCCUUCAAGGCAACUUUAAUGAGGUGACACAAACCAGGUGGGGGCGACUGUUUACUUAAAACCCAGGUCUCUGCUAAAUCGUAUAAGAUGACGUAUAGGGACUGACGCCUGCCCAGUGCUGGAAGGUUAAGCUGAGCCGUGCAAGCGGUGAUGUGAAGCCCCAGUAAACGGCGGCCGUAACUCUAACGGUCCUAAGGUAGCGAAAUUCCUUGUCGGGUAAGUUCCGACCCGCAUGAAUGGCGUAACGAUCUCCACACUGUCUCCAACAUAGACUCAGCGAAAUUGAAUUCUCGGUGAAAAUGCCGGGUACCCGCAGCUAGACGGAAAGACCCUAUGAAGCUUUACUGCAGUUUCGUAUUGGCAUUAGGACACAUUUGCGUAGGAUAGGUGGGACGCUUUGAAGUGGCGAUUUUGGUUGCCAUGGAGCGGUUGGUGAAAUACCACCCUGAUGUGUUUUAAUGUCUAACCCGCGUUCUUGAACCAGGGCGGGGGACAAUGCGUGAUGGGCAGUUUGACUGGGGCGGUCGCCUCCCAAAUCGUACCGGAGGCGCGCGAAGGUUUGCUCAGGCUGGUCGGAAAUCAGCCGGUGAGUGCAAAGGCAAAAGCAAGCCUGACUGCGAGGAGGACACUCCGAGCAGAGACGAAAGUCGGUCUUAGUGACCCGGUGGCUCCGCAUGGAAGGGCCAUCGCACACGGAUAAAAGCUACUCUAGGGAUAACAGGCUGAUGCUACCCAAGCGUCCAUAGCGACGGUAGUGUUUGGCACCUCGAUGU
rnacentral:rRNA from 1 species